AGGUCCGGGCGCGUGCGGCUCACCUAUUUUUGGAGUAGAUGGCCGGGUGGUAGGGAUGAUCAUCUCUGGAGUCCAAGAUAUGACAUAUGUUCUUUCAGUGGGGUGGAUAUGGGAGACACUACAGAUGUACUUCUAGUACUAUGUACACAUACAAGCUAGUAUAUUUUCACUGCACUGGAGUAGUUAAAUUAAUAAUGGCACAUUUACAAUAUCCUGGGCAUUGCUAAUUAAUUAAGGCGCGCCAGUAUACUCGUACCUGCAGGAACUAUGACCAGUUGCAUCCCGGAAGCAUUGAUGCAAAGUAUGGCGGAACCACCUCUGAUUAACUUAACUAAAGCACGGUUAAGUCGCCUGACGUGCGAUCCUCAUGCCUUAAUCAAGUUAACUCGAUGUGCCUGUGACGGCCUCGGACAAAAAUCCUACGCGUCAAUCUUAAUACGAGCCCCUGAUCACCUGUCUUAGUUUUUCCAAGCCUAAGUGUUCAACCUCCAGCUCUUUCAACCCCUGCGAUCCGACCCCUCGCCGUGGUCUUUCCAGUUCCGACCCCGCCGACCCUCAACCCCCGUCGGAUCUUCCUAAGCCAUCCCGCAGCAUUGCCCUCCAGUUCGAGCAGUGGACCACCGAGACUGACCGGUGGGCCCACUAGAUCUUUUCCCCUAGAUCUCCCGUGACAGGCGCACUCGAGUUGCAUGCCCGCUUCAGUUUUUCCCCGCCGCGUGGCUCAACUCCUCUGACGUCCGCCGCUCCGCCUCGUCUCCGGCCCGCGACAAGAUGGAUUCUCGCGCCCCCUUCCCCAAUCGCGGCAGAAGCCCCUCUGCAACCCUUUCUGCAGUACCUCGCCGCCCGCGCCCAUCAUCACAUCGCCAGAUCCCGGCCGCAGAGCCUGAUGCCGCCCGUCUUUUCUGUCACCUCGCCACAGACGCGCUGCCCCGGUCUUUGCUACACGACGAUUCCUCCUUCGCCAACCCAAACCGCGGCAGCGACAGCUCCUUUUUUCCGCCCUGUCAGAAGCCGCUCCGACAAUCUGUUGCUCCGCGCUCGCCCGCGCGCCCGCAGCCGCCUGUCUUCUCACCUGUGCGCCCUCGAUCCUAGUGCUGUUUUCCCGGUCACUUCCAUCAGAUCCACCGCACGACGACGCCCGCCUCCGCCAAAUCUCAACCACCAGCAAACCCGCGCCUGCGCCGCCCUGACGUCAGGGCCCAAUGACCGCCGGCGUCAUCCCCGAAGUCCUUCUUCACCGCCCUCGUCGCUCAAUCGCCGCCCGGGCAGAGCACUCCAUCGCUUCUUCCCCGGCCUUCGCGCCGCUCCCCCUUCUCACUCCCGCGCAGCUAUAAAAGGGAAUGCAGAAGUCCUGCCGGAGUUUUCCCUCUGCCCUAGCUGCCAUCUCUCUUGCUCCCUGUUCGAACUCACAGCGCCACCACCUAAGUCUGAGGAACUCUCCUCUGUGCUCAAGCACCACCGAUUUCCCUGAUUCGCCAGCCACUGCUUUCAGUGCUGCCCAAGAGCUUGCUUGUGAUCCACAAGAAGCACCGCCGCCGCCGGACUUUCUCGCCGCCAUCCCAAGCCCUUAGUUCUUCCGCCCAAGCCUCCUCUGUAAGACGAAGGUAGGCUGCCGACCCUUGUUCGCUUCGCCCGACUCCUCUUAUCCGCCCGACCCUGGUUCCAUCUCGCCCGACCCUGUCUGUUCCGCCGACCCUUCUCCGCCUCGCCUGAGGGCUCGACUGUAUCUUUUUCUUUGAACUGAGGGUGUAUGUGUAAAACUUGGGGACCUUUCAGCGUUGAGUCUGAGGACCCCUAGUACAUCAAACCCUCUAGAUUAAGGGUCAGAUCAUAAGUUUUUUCCCCUCCGACCCUUACCUCUUGAUCUCCAUCAACUCCUUUGAACCUCCCCACCCUCCUGUAACUUGUCGCAAGUUUCUGGGCUCAGACUUGCAAGUUUUGCUGUUGAAAUAACCGUCUAUGCUAACCAAUGCAUUGCAUUUGUGUAGAGCUGCGUCUCGCCGACGGCUACUACGAGCUGCACCCGGCGCCAGAAGACGACGGUGUAGCUGAGCUUUUGCCCCCAGAAGCCGAAGCUGCCCCAGAAGUCGAGCAGUUCCCUUCCUCUUUGCUCGAAGGCAAGCCCCGGAUGCAUGAAUCCCCCUAUGUUUUACCAGACUUGCGCAUGCCUUCUUUAACAUGCUUGUGCAUUUACGUAUAGGAGUUGUUUGGAACCCUAGAUGCAUAACUUAGCUUCCGUGAUCUGAACACUAGCUGUUGGACCGAGUAGAUGCUUGCUUAAAUAGGAAACGGUAAAAGCCGAGUGAUUCCCUGUCACUCGCGAGUUGUAGGAGUUGGAUGUUUACUCUUCUGUCACAACUAUAAGGACGAUGGACGGGGCAGGGUUUUGGGUAACUCUUUGGUGGUCGGCUGAUCGCCCCGUCUGUCUAUGAAAAAUGCUAAGGCCCGACAGUGGUGGUGUUUGUGAUCAAGUGUUUGAAAGUACUAAUCUCAUACCUAGAAUGGGAUGGGGAAGCCUAGUACCUGAUUGAACUAGGGCGUGGCUUAUACCCCUGCUGUCCCUGGAACGAGGUUCCCAUGGUGCAUCAUGUGGGUGCAAGUGCGGUCACAGUACGGCAGAGGCCGGGACUGUGGAGCAUUGCAUGCCAAGGGAAGUUUGGACCUGACACGCGCCUGGGAAUUGAUGGGGACGACCGACACGGGAAGCGGCCCUUGUGGUGCGCGGAUGUCGUGAGAUUAGGUUCGCCAUGCAUGGUUAAGAAACUCGAAUCAAUUCGUCUGCCUCUCACAGUUUGAGACUGCUUGAUCGCUAUGUCACCUGAGUAAAUAAGGAAUCUGAUGAUGACAUGGUUUUGCUGAUGUUGUAUAUACCUUUGAUUGGUUCUAUGAUUGCUUAGAAUAGGUUACAAACUUAGAACGGAUAAUGAACUUAGAACCGGAGCUAAAACUUGAAAGUAGGGUUACCUUAGCGCUUUUGGCAAACAAACCCCUCAGCCAAAAAAACCCUUGCAUGUCUAGAAGAGGUAGUUUAGCGCGCUCCCUGUCGGUUAAGUCUUGUUGAGCUUAAUUAGUAGCUCAGCCUUGUUGUGGCUCUUCUUUUUCAGGUAAAGUUGCUGCUUCUGAGCCCCUUUCUGCUAGCACUUGGCCGCCCCAACUCCCUCCGGGUUGGACGGUCGAGUGGGAUCCCUCCUCGGACGGCGAGGAGAGGGAUCAGUGACGUCCCGGUUGGCCUCGGUUGGCCUCACCAGGGAUGUCCGACCCCGACGAAAUAGCUUCCGCUUGUUGUUUUAUCUUCGGUGGUUUUCUUUCAAACCUUGUAAACUCUGAUGAUGGUUUAUAACCAAACUAGAUGGUUAAUUUGCUUAACUUAGUGGACUUGUUGUAUUCUCUGGAACCGCUCACCUUCGGGUGGGUCUGUUAUUCGGUCCUGUUCAAGUGGUUAAAUCGGAUGAAAUCCGAUGGCACUUCGUGUUUACUCGGUUAGGCAUGAGCGUCGCGUGUCAUGCGACUAAAUCAUGUUUAACUAAGCAAAUCCGAAGUGGAUCCACCACAGUACCGUUGGAUUUCAUCCGAUUUAACCACUUAAUAGGAUCGAGUUAGCAUAGCUCACACGAAGGUGAGUGGUUCCAGAGAAUACAACAGAUCCAUAAUUUGAUUAACAAGUUGUUAACAAGUUUACAAAGGUUGAAAGAAACAACAGAAGUUAGAAACAAGCGGAAGCUACUCGUUGGGGUCGGAUAUCCCUGGUGAGGCCAGCCAGGACAUCAAUGAUCCCAUUCCCCACCGUCCGAGGAAGGAUCCCACUCGAUCGUCCAACCCGGAGGGAGCUGGGGCGGCAAGUGCCAGCAGCAAGCUCUGAAGCUGCAACUUCACCUGAAAAGAGAAGCCACAACAAGGCUGAGCUUCUAAGCUCAACAAGACUUAACCGACCGGUGAGAGAAACUAUUCCACCACGGCUAGACAUGCAAGGCUCUUUGGCUGAGGUGUUUUGUUUGCCAAAAGCGACUAUGUUAGGUCCUUGCUUUCAAAGUUUUAGCUCAGAUUCUAAGUUCAUUUACCAGUCUAUGUUGGCAACUUACACUAAGCAAACAUAGAUCCAAUUUUAUGUAUAUAAGCUCAUCAUCAAGACCAUGUCAUCAUCAGACUCCUUCAUUACUCAGUGUAGCAUUAUGAUCAAGCAGUCUCAAACUGUGAGAGGUAGACGAAUCGAUUCGAGUUCCUUAACCAUGCAUGAUGAACCUAACCUCACGAUAUCCGCGCACCAUCAGUUCCCUAACCCGUGUCGGGUCCACUUCCUUUGGUGCAAGGUUCCACAGACCCAGCCUCUGUCGUUCUGCGACCACACUUGCCACCACGUGCAGCCGUAGGGGAACUUCGUUCCAAGGACAGUGGAGCGACCGCUCACGUUUAGGUUCAAUCGGGUAUUAGGCUUCCAUAUCCCAUAUUGGGUAUGAGAUUAGUACUUUCAAACACUUAAUCACGAACACCGCCACUGUCGGGCCUUAACAGGUUCAGUAAACAGACGGGGCGAUCAGCCGACCACCAAAAGAGUUAACCAUAACCCUGCCCCGUCCAUUGUCCUUAUAGUUGUAACAGAAGAAAACAACCAACUCCUAUAACUCGCGAGUGACAGGAAAUCACUCAGCUUUUACCGCUUCCUAUUUAAGCAUUGCAACUACUCGACCCAACAGACUAGUGUACAUUUCAAAGGAACUAUGGCAUGCAUCUAUGGUUGCAAACAACUCCUAUACGUAAAUGCACAAUCAUGAGAAGGAAGGCAUGCGCAAGUUUGGAAAGAUGGGUUCAUGAUCCGGGGCUUGCCUUCAAGCGGAGAGGAGGGAAACUAGUCUUCAGCUGGGGCUGCUUCGGCUUCUGGGAUUGGCAGCUCAGCUACGGCUCUGUCUUCGGGCGCCGGGUGUAGCUCGUAGACGCCGUCAGCGAGACGUAACUCUACACGAAUGCAAAUGCAGGAGUUAGUGUUUAGACGGUUAUUUCAACACACUUGCAAGUUAAAGCUCGGACACUUGUAGCAAGGCUACAGAAAAGGUGGGGGAAGUUCACUUUAGUUGGUGGAGAACAGGAUAAAAGGGUCGGAUGGGGGAAAACUUGGGAUCUGACCCUUAAAGUUAAGAAAUAACUGUGUCGUGGUCCUCGGACUUAACACCGGGGAGUUCCCGAUAUUUUGCACAGAUACCCUCGGGUCAAGGAAAAGGAUACAGCCAAGCCCUUUGGCGAGAUGAUAAGGGUCGGCGAAACAGAUAGGGUCGAGCGAGGCGAAAAAGGGGCUAGGCGAAUCGUAAAGGGGUCGGCAGCUUACCUUCAGGUUUAUAGGUGAAGCUUGGGGUCGGGAAGGAGCAGACUUGGGUGGAAGGACUUAAGCACUAAGGCUUGGGCGGCGGCGAGGUUGGACAAUGCUCCGGCGGCGGCGGAGCUUCUUGUGGGCAACAAAGAAGCUCUAGCACACCACGAAGGAGCAGACGGCUGGGUGGACUGGGGAGAAGCGGACUUGAGUGGAGAGGGGAACUUUUCGAGAUUUCAGCGGGAUUGCUCAAGUGCGCUCAGAGUAGGGGAGGUGAAACAGCAAGGGCGAAGGAAGUCCGGUGGAACUCUGGCAUUCCUUUUUAUAGCUGCGCGGAAGAGAGAGAUUUCGAGCAGCACGAAGACCGGGAAGAAAAGGAUGGGGUGCGCUGCCAUGAUGGCGAUUGAGCGGCGAUGGGCGGCGGAACAGGACCUUGGAGAUAGAGUCUUCGGCCAUUGGGCACUGGAGACAAGGCGGAGCAGGCGCGGUUUUGCCGGGGUUUAGAUUUGGCGGAGGUGAGCGUAGCCUGGUCGCGUCGAGCGGCGGAUUUGACUGGUGUGACAGGGGGAAAGGCGCUACAAGCGAGGUUGCAACAGGUGAAGUGAUAGGGCGAGCAGCGGCGCGAGCAAGCGCGAAACAGCGGCAUUGCCGAAGCACGUCACUGGUGGGGCGAGAAAAGGAGCUGUCGCGGCCAAAGUCGGGGUUGGCGAGGGAGGUAUCGUCGUGGAGUGAGCUCGUGCGCGGCGCGACUGUGGAGAGGCGGCGGAAAAAUCGGAAGGCAUCGGGUCUUACAGCCGGGGAUCCGGUGAGAUGAUGGACGCGGGUCGCGAGGCGGUCUGACGCAGCAGCGGCAAAACUCUGCCAUGGCAGCGACGGGGCACCUUGGCGCGGCCGGCGAGGGCGCGAGCGAGACGGGGAGAAGCAGAAAGGGUUGCAGAGGGGCUUCCGCUACGAUUGGGGAGGAGGGCGCGUGGAUCCAUCCUAUCGCGGCCGGCGGCUGGGCGAAGCGGCGGGUGUCAGAGAGAUCAUGCCACGCGGCGGGGAAGCUCUGAAGCGGGCGCAUGCUGCUCGGCGCGUCUGCCUCGUGAGAUCCGGGGAGAAGAUUGCGGGUCCACCAGUCAGUCUCGGUUGUUCCACAGCUCCAAGAUUGAAAGGAACACUGCCUUUGGGUACUCAGAAGGAACCGGCAGUUUUGGUUGGGUUCUCAGGGGUCGGGACUAAGAACCGGUUUUUGGAGCGCUUAAGCUCAGGGGAGCUGAGACAGAGGGAUUAGGGACCCGGAUUAAGAUUAACUCGGCCAAUCAACCAAGGUCGUUACACCUAUGGGUUCGGAUACGUAUAGACAUGGCCCGAGUACUCCUACUCGGUCCAAUAGUUAGUAGCGGCCUCUAGCAAGACGUGCCAACUCCUAUACGCACACGAAGAUCAUAUCAGACGAACCGUCACAACAUUAUGUACAUGCUAUUCCCUUUGCCUCACGAUAUUUGGUCUAGCUCCAAGCCGACCGCUCUUUCUCGAUCCUGUGAUUCGGAAUCCCUUUGUAGGUUAACUCUUAACCGUACGUAGCAUGGUCAUGCAUUUUCGGAUCCGAUCACUCGAGGGGCCCAGAGAUAUCACUCUCAAUCAGAUAGGGGUAAAUUCCAUCUUGAUUGACCAUGUCUCACAGCAUUCUUCCUGACAAACCCGAAAGCUACCUUUAUAACUACCCUGUUACGGUGUAGCGUUUGAUUGCCCCUAAGUGAGUCGAUUCACAUCUCGAGUACAUGCGACAAUCUCAGGUCUAAGGAUAAAGCGUACUUGUUGUGUAAAGCGAGAACUACUUCUCGUGUUGGGUCAGUCCUAGCCCAUGUCUCCACAUGCGCCCACAUUGUUAGUUUAACAUCUCCAUGUCCAUGACUUGUGAAACAUAGUCAUCAACUAAUACAUGUGCUAGUCUAAUAUUCAUGUGUGUCCUCAUAUGAACUCCGACUAGGGACAACUUUAGAAUAACCAUACAAGUAAAGAGUUUUUUUAACAAUUCACAUAAUUGCAAAUCAAUUCAAGUAGCCUUUAAUGGAUAUUCAAUGAACACAAUAUAUAAAACAUGGAUACAAAUGUAAUAUCAUCAUCUCUAUGAUUGCCUCUAGGUCAUACCUCCAACACUCUCUGCGUAUCCUGCUGUCGAUUUCUCGUACGAUGAUGAUAGAGUUGGAGAUUUUCUCGUGACGCUUGGGCAUCCUCAUGGCAUGCGGGGCUAUCAUGAUGUAUGGAACAACUCCGGCUUGGUCACCUCAGUUGCUUCCAUCCUAAAACAGCUACUAUUAAUCAUGUACGAAUAAUUAACACACGUGCGCGCGCACAGAGGCGUACAGUGCAUGCAUAUUGAUAGUAGCUAACGUGCACUACAUGAAUGUAUACUUGCAGCAAGGAGGUCUGUCCUACUGCCACUGGUUUGGGCAAUAUUGUCCAAAUAUUUAAUUAGUGGUGACUUUGGCACCGGUCCGGGCGCGUGCGGCUCACCAGUUUUUGGAGUAGAUGGCCGGGUGGUAGGCAUGAGCAUCUCUUAAGUCUAAGAUAUGACAUAUGUUCUUUCAGUGGGGUGGAUAUGGGAGACACUACAAAUGUACUUCCAGUACUAUGUAUGUGUCUAGUAUACAUUCACUGUACUCCACACAUGGCCCAUCACAUCAGGCCUAUCAGGUCUACGCAGUGGCCCCUAGUUUAUUGGGCGAGAGAGGAUAUGAUGCCCAUCAUGUAGUACAGAUGUAUUUCUAGUACUAUGUACACAUACACUGUACUUCACACCUUGCCCAUCUCAUCCAUCCAAUCAGGUCUAUGCAGUGCCCCUCAGUUUAUUGGGCUAGAGAGUAAAUGAUGCCCAUCAUGUAGUACAGAUGUACUUCUAGUACUAUGUACACAUACAAGCUAGUAUAUUUUCACUGCACUGGAGUAGUUAAAUUAAUAAUGGCACAUAAUAUCCUGGGCAUUGCUAAUAAAUUAAGGCGCACCAGUAUACUCGUACCCGCAGGAACUAUGACCAGCUCCCACCUGAAAGCAUUCAUGCAAAGCGGAUAGAAGAAGAACACGCCAUGUCCGUGGUAAGGCUGUGCAUCGCAAGAACUAAGAAGAACAAAGGACGUGGCACCGGUUUUAUCGUGGUCAACACCGCGAACAAGCUUGUGGUCAUGACCUGUGGCCACUUGUUAAAUGAAUGGGUUAGAGGUACAAAGGUAGGCGUCACAUUCCAUGACAUGAGAGAUGCUAGUGCCAAAGCGGUGUGGGUUAAUACAGAGAAGGAGGUUGCAUUGCUUCUCAUAGAUACCCCUUCCAAUCCUGAAUUCUCUACGUAUCCUGC
rnacentral:lncRNA from 1 species